rnacentral:ribozyme from 1 species
CAGCAACAGCAGCAUCAACACUUCUGGGCGGUCCACCAAAGCUCCUCCAGGAUUUGGGCCUAUCGCUCACAGGCCUCCGAAUGGCCCUGCUG